UACGUAGGGGGCAAGCGUUGUCCGGAUUUAUUGGGCGUAAAGAGCGUGUAGGCGGUUUGGUAGGUCCGCUGUGAAAACUCGAGGCUCAACCUCGAGACGCCGGUGGAAACCAUCAGGCUAGAGUCCGGAAGAGGAGAGUGGAAUUCCUGGUGUAGCGGUGAAAUGCGCAGAUAUCAGGAGGAACACCGGUGGCGAAGGCGGGUCUCUGGGCCGAUAUUGACGCUGAGGAGCGAAAGCGUGGGGAGCGAACAGG
rnacentral:rRNA from 1 species